rnacentral:rRNA from 1 species
AGAGUUUGAUCCUGGCUCAGGAUGAACGCUAGCUACAGGCUUAACACAUGCAAGUCGAGGGGCAGCAUGGUCUUAGCUUGCUAAGGCCGAUGGCGACCGGCGCACGGGUGAGUAACACGUAUCCAACCUGCCGUCUACUCUUGGCCAGCCUUCUGAAAGGAAGAUUAAUCCAGGAUGGGAUCAUGAGUUCACAUGUCCGCAUGAUUAAAGGUAUUUUCCGGUAGACGAUGGGGAUGCGUUCCAUUAGAUAGUAGGCGGGGUAACGGCCCACCUAGUCUUCGAUGGAUAGGGGUUCUGAGAGGAAGGUCCCCCACAUUGGAACUGAGACACGGUCCAAACUCCUACGGGAGGCAGCAGUGAGGAAUAUUGGUCAAUGGACGAGAGUCUGAACCAGCCAAGUAGCGUGAAGGAUGACUGCCCUAUGGGUUGUAAACUUCUUUUAUACGGGAAUAAAGUGAGGCACGUGUGCCUUUUUGUAUGUACCGUAUGAAUAAGGAUCGGCUAACUCCGUGCCAGCAGCCGCGGUAAUACGGAGGAUCCGAGCGUUAUCCGGAUUUAUUGGGUUUAAAGGGAGCGUAGGCGGACGCUUAAGUCAGUUGUGAAAGUUUGCGGCUCAACCGUAAAAUUGCAGUUGAUACUGGGUGUCUUGAGUACAGUAGAGGCAGGCGGAAUUCGUGGUGUAGCGGUGAAAUGCUUAGAUAUCACGAAGAACUCCGAUUGCGAAGGCAGCCUGCUGGACUGUAACUGACGCUGAUGCUCGAAAGUGUGGGUAUCAAACAGGAUUAGAUACCCUGGUAGUCCACACAGUAAACGAUGAAUACUCGCUGUUUGCGAUAUACAGUAAGCGGCCAAGCGAAAGCGUUAAGUAUUCCACCUGGGGAGUACGCCGGCAACGGUGAAACUCAAAGGAAUUGACGGGGGCCCGCACAAGCGGAGGAACAUGUGGUUUAA